UCCCAGUUCGGAUUNUAGUCCGCAACCCGACUACAUGAAGCUGGAAUCGCUAGUAAUUGCGGAUCAGAAUGCCGCGGUGAAUACGUUCCCGGGUCUUGUACACACCGCCCGUCACACCAUGGGAGUCGGAAAUGCCCGAAGUCUGUGACCUAACCGAGAGGGAGGAGCAGCCGAAGGCAGGUCUGAUGACUGGGGUGAAGUCGUAACAAGGUAGC
rnacentral:rRNA from 1 species